GGGCGAGCGUUGUUCGGAGUGACUGGGCGUAAAGGGAACGCAGGCGGUCUUUUAAGUCUGAUGUGAAAGCCUUCGGCUUAACCGGAGUAGUGCAUUGGAAACUGGGAGACUUGAGUGCAGAAGAGGAGAGUGGAACUCCAUGUGUAGCGGUGAAAUGCGUAGAUAUAUGGAAGAACACCAGUGGCGAAAGCGGCUCUCUGGUCUGUAACUGACGCUGAGGUUCGAAAGCGUGGGGAGCAAAC
rnacentral:rRNA from 1 species